rnacentral:misc_RNA from 1 species
GAAAUUUUUUGUUCUCACUCAGCAGGAAGACACCAUGUCUUUGGAAAAAAGUUGUAGUCCUUUGGGAAGAGGCGCAGCAUGCGAUUGAGAUUUCUUGCAAGUAAAUCUUUACGACAGAUCUCCGUCAUGCCAGGAAAGUGGUUGACCUUCUGGAACCUCUUCAUGUCCUUCGCCCUCUCUAUGCUGAUGCUCAAGUCGGUCCAAUAGAGAUUCCAACUACUGUCUUCUGUAACUUCCUUCAUACCAAACUUAGCCGCUACUCUUCUCACAACUUCGUAUUUGCAGUUGCUCGUACAAAUGACUUGGGUGGCCUGUUCUGUUCCAUCUUCUUUGAAUCCAAGCUGGUUUCUGGUUGCAAAGCGACGCUAUCUUCUUUGAUCAUUUCGCUGAUUGAAAUACUCUUUCUACCAGGGUUGAGUAGCGUGAUUGAAUUCUUUGGAGUAUUGGACUCAUGUUUUCCAUCCAGUUUGGUAGAUUUUGAUGCAUCAUUCGAGAGGAGCAGCCUUUUGUAACUACUAUCGGAGGUUGUUUUAAGCGAUUUGACUUCACCGACAGAACAAGAAUUGCCACCGUCACCGCUGUCCACAGAAUCUUCUCUCGCCACCUCCCCAUAUUCUUUAACAUUACGUAAGACUACCAGAGGUCGUUUAUCAUUACCACCCCCAGUUAUGAUGUUCAUGACAAAUUAGAUCACCAUAUUAUUCCUUAUCGACCGAUCAUUCGUCAAUCAUUUAUCCAUUCGUAUGGUGAAUCGGCUAUUCAAACAUGGAGGGUACCGUCUAAAGGGGAAUAAAUAAGAAACAGGCAAAACAUUGCUAAUUUAAAACGCUAAAGGUGAUUUAAAAAGGGGAAAAUAACCAUCAUUAUCCCCUCAAAUUAGUUGAUCUUCGAUUGCGUGAAAAAGAACAAUUGAACGUGCAGAAUUCGAUAUUUUUCAGAGAUCGAAACGCUACUAACUUCAAAUAAAUUGUACGAGAGGAAAAAGAAUUCGCCGCGCAACAAUAAGUGGAAAGUUUGA